GGUUUCAUAGUGUAGCAAUUAGCACAUCUGCUUUACACGCAGAAGGUCCUGGGUUUGUGCCCCAGUGGAGCCA
rnacentral:tRNA from 1 species